UAUUCCUCGGGGGGCAGCAGUAGGGAAUCUUCCACAAUGGACGAAAGUCUGAUGGAGCAACGCCGCGUGAGUGAAGAAGGGUUUCGGCUCGUAAAGCUCUGUUGGGAGUGAAGAAAGAUAGAGGUAGUAACUGGCCUUUAUUUGACGGUAAUUACUUAGAAAGUCACGGCUAACUACGUGCCAGCAGCCGCGGUAAUACGUAGGUGGCAAGCGUUGUCCGGAUUUAUUGGGCGUAAAGCGAGUGCAGGCGGUCCAAUAAGGCUGAUGUUAAAGGCUUCGG
rnacentral:rRNA from 1 species